UACGGGGGGAGCAAGCGUUGUUCGGAUUUACUGGGCGUAAAGGGCGCGUAGGCGGUCGUGACAAGUCACUUGUGAAAUCUCCGGGCUUAACUCGGAACGGUCAAGUGAUACUGUCGGACUAGAGUACAGAAGGGGCAACUGGAAUUCUCGGUGUAGCGGUGAAAUGCGUAGAUAUCGGGAGGAACACCAGUGGCGAAGGCGGCUUCCUGGCCUGUUCUUGACGCUGAGGCGCGAAAGCUAGGGGAGCAAACGGG
rnacentral:rRNA from 1 species